rnacentral:rRNA from 1 species
GACGAACGCUGGCGGCGUGCUUAACACAUGCCAGUCGAACGGUGAAGCGCCUUCCUUUUUGGUGGGUGUGGAUGAGUGGCGAACGGGUGAGUAACACGUGAGUAACCUGCCCCCUUCUUCUGGAUAACCGCUUGAAAGUGUGGCUAAUACGGGAUAUUCUGGGUCUGUCGCAUGAUGGGUCUGGGAAAGAUAUUGUUUCGGUGGGGGAUGGGCUCGCGGCCUAUCAGCUUGUUGGUGGGGUGAUGGCCUACCAAGGCGGUGACGGGUAGCCGGCCUGAGAGGGUGGACGGUCACACUGGGACUGAGACACGGCCCAGACUCCUACGGGAGGCAGCAGUGGGGAAUAUUGCACAAUGGGCGCAAGCCUGAUGCAGCGACGCCGCGUGAGGGAUGGAGGCCUUCGGGUUGUGAACCUCUUUCGCCAGUGAAGCAGGCCUGCCUCGUUUGUGGGUGGGUUGACGGUAGCUGGAUAAGAAGCGCCGGCUAACUACGUG